AGGUCGGAAUCUGUACUCUAUCCAUGACCUUCAGCAGCAGUUUUCAUUCCAGUUGAUGAAGGCUUCUUUUUACCUGAAAGCUGCAAGGUGCCAUUCCCACAUUCCAGGUUCACCAGGAAUCCAGUGUCUGGCUUUCACGAGUCUUGGGAACACAGCAGAAAGAACCUGGACUUCAUUCCUCCCGUGUUUAAGAAGCAAAAGUGGAGCCAUGGCUCUUAGGAAGAAUGUUCCAGACAUUAUUACCAUACAGCUCCCUCCCCUACUCUCCACCUCCACCAACUUCAAGCACAACCUGAAGCUACAUUCGAUUCCAUGAAAUGUGUAUUUUCCAAAUUCUGUUUUGUCCAAGGGCCGAGUUGGCUGGAGAAGGAAAAGUGGAAAAGCAUGCCCGAGAGAGCUCCUGGUGUGUCUUCUUCAUCUACAUGCUACCCUCCAUUUGAAGGGGCUUCCCCUCCCAGCGGCUGUGUUGGGCCUGUGAGUUUGUGCAAUGCCCGUGUCUGGUUGCUUCAGAGAAUCCCCUACUGGCUUAUCAUGGACUCUGGAGGAAAUGAGGCCAUUGCAGAAAUCAGAAUGAUUUUGAUCAUUCUUCUACAACAAAUCCACUCAAGGUGAUGAACUGCAUGGUCCAAAAGGAUAAAUGGCAAACCCUCUUCCAGAUAGCAAUGCAAAGGUCUGGUUCCUUCCAUCUUCUGGCUACUCCACUUUGGAGUCUUUGCCCUCCAGUCACAAGAACAGGAAUUUGCAAGAUACUUUACCAGUCUAACUGCAAGGUGCUAGAUGUCUCUUCAGUUCGUGUUCCAGGACCGAUUAUCAGCAUAGCAUAAUUGCAAGGAAGACUGGUUACUGUGCAUAGGUGUGACCACUAGCCUACAUACCUCACUGUGGGCCCCAGAGGAGUCAUCUGUGCUCCUAUAGCCUUACCUCCUUCUCUGAAAAAUGGGGAUAAUAGCCCACAGCCUGUAGAGUUCCUGUAUGAUGAUUAAUAUUGUAACCAACUUGACAGACUCUAGAAUCUCCAGGAUACAAACCUAUGGACACGACCAUGAGGGAGUUUCUAGACUAGGUAAGUCCAAGUGGAAAAAUGCACUCUAAAUAUGGGUGGUGCCAUCCAAAGACUGGAAUCCUGUACAGAAUAAAAAAGAGAAAGAAGACCAACUGCA